AGGAGCCCAGCAGGCUUCCCCUAGUGAAUCCGGCGCUGGGGACACGCUGUCAGAGCUGCCUGCCAGUCCUGCGCCCACAUGCCCACACCCCUCAGUCCUUGGGCGGUCGAUGGGACCCAGCGCCUAGAAGCAGGGGGCCGCGCCCAUCCGAGAGGCUCCGGCAUGGCUGGCUGCAGGUCCCCAGUCUUGCCCCGCUGAGAGGCGGCUGAGGCCCAGCAAGAAUUCAAGCGCCGCGGGGGCAGGCCGGCAGUGCUGGGGGACCCGGCGCACCCUCCGCAGCUGCUAGCCCGGGUGCUAAACCCCUCACUGCCGGGCCGGCGCUGCCGGCCGGCGUUGGGCCGGCUGCUCUGAGUGCCGGCCGCGGAGCCUGCGCCCACCCGGAACUGGCCGCAGCCCCGGUUCCCGCCCCCGCCUCUCCCUCCACACCUCCCCACAAGCAGAGGGAGCUGGCUUCAGCCUCAGCCAGCCCAGAGAGGGGUCCCCACAGCGCAGUGGCGGGCUGAAGGGCUCCUUGAGCAUGGCCAGAGUGGACGCCAAGGCUGAGGAGGCGCUGAGAGCCAGUGAGGGCUGCUAGCACGUUGUCACCUCUCAAUACAUAAAACUACUGAAGGGUGGUUCCAAGAUGGCCAAAUAGGAACAGCUCCAGUCUACAGCUCCCAGCAUGAGCGACGCAGAAGAUGAAUGAUUUCUGCAUUUCCAACUGAGGUGGAUAUUGGAACAUGGAACAUUGAUUUUCCACUCAUAGACCAAAAGCUCCUAGAGAAUGUCUGAAUAGUUUUUGACUGAUCUCCCUUUGUGUCAUCAAAUCUUUGCUACCAACUAGAGGCUCUCCGGGAAGCAUGGUACUGACAUUGGCUAAGCCUCUGGUGAGGACUCAGGAAGUUUUGAUUCAUAGCAGAAGGAAAAGUGGGAGCAGUCACAUCACACAGCCAGAGCAGGAGCAAGGGUGAGAAGAGGUGCCACACAUUUUCAAACAACCAGAUCUUGCAAGAACUCACUAUUGCAAGGACAGCACCAAGUCAUGAAGGAUCCACUUCCAUGAUCCAAUCAUCUCCCACCCGGCCCUACCUCCAACACUGGGGAUUACAUUUCAACAUGAGAUUUAGAUGGGACACAUAUCUAAACGCUAUCAUUUACUAAACCAAAAUAAUGAAAAAUUCUAGUGUGUAAGCAAAUGAAAAAAAAAGCGUAUACAUAUCACCAGAAAUAGCCAGAUUGAAGAAUGGGCAGAGGAGCUCUAAGAGAUAAGAUGGAGCCCUGCAUUCCCACUCUCCUAGAACGGCCUUCAAAACUGCAUCAAGGUCCUCCAGCUUUCUCAAGACAUUUUGGUUUGUCUUUGGUUAGCAUUAGAAUAAAGUGCAGCUGAUGGUGCCAACGAAAUUUGGUUGCCUUGCUCUGGGCAUGAGCCUCAUUUUAUACAACGUACAAAUACAUAAAUUUCUUUUCUUUUUCUUCUUUUGAGACAGUCUCACUCUGUCAUCCAUGCUGGACUGCAGUGGUGUGAUCUCAGCUCACUGCGACUUCCACCUUCCGGGUUCAAGCAAUUCUUGCGCCCUAGCCACCCCACCCCCCAAGUAACUGGGCAUACAGGUGUGCACCACCACACCAGGCUAAUUUUUGUAUUUUUAGUAGAGAUGGGGUUUCACCAUGUUGGCCGGGUUGGUCUCAAACUCCUGACCUCAGGUGAUCUGCCUGCCUUGGCCUCCCAAAGUGCUGGGAUUACAGGCAUGAGCCACCAUAUGCAGCCUAAAUACAUAAAUUUCAUACUUAGAGGAAGCUUUGCAGAAUAAUUCACAAUAGUUUUCCUAUAAAUCAUCAGCUCUGAAAAUAAUUCAAGUUAUAUUCAGGUUACAGAUUUUACACAUGAAUUUUGGCUAUUUUACUGCUGUGUACCAUCAAGAUUUUUUUGAAAUUAUUUGUUUGUGAAUGGGUGUUAAUUUUCAUGGUUUAUAUAUACUAUUAUGGAGAGAGAACUUCAGAAUAAUUACUUUCAUUUUAGGUUACUACAUGAAUCCAGUGGUACAUCAAAUCAAUUAGUAUAUGCUAAUAAAUGGCUUACCAUUAAAUCCUAUAUUGUUGAAAUCACACAUUAAAUGAGUUUUUUUCUAAAUCAGAUCUCUAGAAAAUGUAAUUGACCCAUCCAGAUAAGCAACAAACUCCUACUAAUUGAAAACCAUAAUUCAUUUUAAUAUUAGCAAUAUUUCUAUCGUAAAAUAUAUCAUUAAACAUUCAGAAAUAAUUUCAAUUUAAAUUUUCUUUUUUAAUCAAAGUAAAUGGCUCAGCAAACUCAGUUUCUGAGUUUAUUAUUAAUUUUGUAUGUUUAAGGAAUUUUAUACUUAUAUACAUUAUAAUAUGAUGUAGCCUUGUUAUAAAUUCUAAUUUUGCUUAUAAGUUAUACAUUUAUUUUUUAUCUCUCCCAUAGGCAGUAAUAUGAAUUGAUGAGUUUUUGAAAUUCAUAUAAUUUUAAGAAUCCUAUAAUUCAAAUUUUUGACUUAGACUAGUCUGCCCCUUAUUACAGUUUAAUGAGGUUUUAUUACAUAUUUCCUAAUCAAUCAAUUACUAUACGAAGAAAAUUUUAUGUAGACACAAGGAACAGAAAUAUGCCCUCAAAGAGGAUGAAGCC